UUCUACUAAAAGUAAAAAAAAAACAAAAAACAAAACAAAAAAAAACCUAGCCGGGCACAGUGGCAGGUGCCUGUAAUUCCAGCUACUUGGGAGGCUGAGGCAGGAGAACCACUUGAACCUGGGUGGCAGAGGUUGCAGUGAGCUGAGAUCAUGCCACUGCAUUCCAGCCUUGGUGACACAGUGAGACGCCAUCUCAAAAAAAAAAGAAAACACGCAGAGAGCUAGGAUGAGGCAUUCUUGGAGCCACCUCGUUAGAAAAAUGAAGUCUGAUGCCUUGCUUUCACAAUGGCUGGUAAGAGUAUAGUUUUAAUCUAUCAUUGUUUCCUUAUGCUUGCUAUCUCACAUGCCAGGUAAAGCUAUUUGCUCCCUCGUCUCACUCUAUCCCAUUUGUACCCCUAGGUAGGAGAAUGUGGUCUGGAAAAUGAGGUGUCACUGUUGAUCAGACAUCAUCACUUUUCUAGUGACUGUCAGCUUAGUUUUGUCCUAUAGUUGUCUUGAUUUCCAGCUAGGUAAUGAGUGUGACAUAUCUUUAAGGUUUGGGUGUGCCAAUGUACUGGAGACAGAAAAUUGACUCAGUAAUUAAACCAUAGCCUGAAACUUGCAUGUUCAAUACAGGCCUGCAAUUUCCUUUACCUAGGCUUGGUCUCAGGUAUUCUUCAUAGUAAAGGUGAUAUUGCUAUUGUAUCACUAUGAUUCAUGGUGUUAGGACACCAAAUUCCUCAUUACAUCUUUAUUUUAAACUUCUAAACUAGUAUAGCUCCUAGGAUUAAAAGGAUUGCAGAUUUUUAAUUUUUUUAAAAAAGAGGCAGUAUUUAGGUGUACCUGGUAGGGGAGAGAACAAGCAUAAGGAAAAAUGAAUAAAUUGGGGCUGUACUGUUACCAGCCAUUUUGAAGACAAGGUAAAGCUUUUUCAUUUUUCUGAUGAGGCAGCUCUGGGAAUGCAUUAUCUUGGUUCCCUGCAUGUUUUCUGGGCAUGGGAAGCAGCAUAACAAACAGAACAAAGGAGUAGAAAGCUUUCUAUUUCUUACCCCAUGCAAUUGUUUGAUUUUGAGAUUUGAGCUAGGUAUUUCAAGGACUGCCAUUAACCAGCUGUGUAACCUGGUGUUAACUGUUAAGUUUUACUCACUUCAAAUUUGCUUUUGUUUCUCCAAAACGUUUUGCACAUUUAUAAGAUAAAUAAAAAUCAGCAUUUUUAGAAGGCAGCUAUCUAUGAUCACCACUCUACCACCAAUGCCACUAAAAUCUGUAUUCUUGAUUACCUGCUGGAAAUAAAAAUGUAAUUGCUAAAA